UACAAGCAAUCUCCCCCAAAACAAACAAAGCCCCCUAGUCAACAAUUGUGCAUUUAUUAAUUUUGGGAUUAUAAACAACCAACCUGCCUUUGUUUCGAAGAGAAACCACAGCCUGAUCAUCUCCUUUACUCUUUCACUGAAGCCCAGCGGCUCUGUAUAAAACUCAAACACCCCAUGGCUCUUGUUUAUCCCCUCUCUGCUCCUCUAGAUCGCCCUCCAGUGGUUAUUGGUCUGUGGCUCAGUUCAGCCCCGUCUCGUCGUGGUUUCCUCCCAGACGGUCUGUGAGACGCUCUUUAUCUCCUCUUACGCUCCACGCGUCCUGAGACGUCUUCAAAUAACAGGGCUCUGUAAAAUUCCCCCAAACUCUCAUGGGUCACCUUUGACCUGGCGCAUGGCAAGUUCCCGUCUCGUUCUCUCUCUCUGCAGUGAACUGACAGAUCCACUCUACGGGAGAGCAGCGCCGUUAUCCGUAUCAGCCGCCAUCUGGAUAUCGAUCCCUCGACAGCGUCCUCAGAGCGUCCCGUGAUGACAGGCUGUCACAGCUCUCACUUUAUGAACUAAUCAUUUCACAUGCUUAUUAUACACUCAGAACAAACAGCUGUGAGUGUCUCAUCAAGCGACUCUAUUUCCUAACGCAUGCAACUGUUCAUAACGCUCUUUUUCAGGUGAAAGUCUCUGAAUAUUUGGAGUGCGCCGCAUACGUUUUCGGGGGCCGUCGAGUGUUUGCGUGCCAGCAGAUGAUGCUCUGGAUUGCUCAAAGCCCUCAGGAGCAACUAGACGGCGUGGUGCUGGUGUUUGUAAGGCAAUUACAGAUGACUGGGAAGAACGUGCUGACUCUGGUGUCUGCACUUUAUCUGUGAAAUUUCUCCUUCCUCUCCGAUAAUCAUCUGUUGUUUGCUUUGGCUGGAGGCGACACAGUUAUCUCAGACUCAUAAUGGAUCGUCUCCCUAAAGCCACACCCCUGCAGAAUGAGUGACAGACAAAAAACACAAUGAAGAGGAUUUCCUAUUUACCGCCGCACCUUCCGUCAGAUUGAGAGAUACCCCGAAGAACGGAAGAGACGUCCUUUGAAAUGUGUGGAGCGCUGUAUGGGAAAGACGAACGUCUCUCCUGUAGGCAUCCAGGCCUCCCUGAAGCAGAACACGCACCGGCCGGGGCUCAUGGGAACUGUAGGCAUAUGACACGUCAAAACCUGAGGCUCUUUCACGGAUGGAUGACGCACUUUCUCAUUUCUCCCGCUGUCUUCGUGAUCUCGGGAUGAGAGGCUGUGCGGAAGGGCAGGUGGAGGUCACAGACACCGGCUCUGUCACUAUACACACCACGAGCAACAAGAAGAUACGUUCCCGUUGCUGCUUGUGUGUGCCGCUCACCUGCUGAGCGUUAGAUUGCUCUCAGGCUUUGACUAAUUGCUUUUCUUCGGCGAGAGAGUGAGAAGAAGCCAUUCGCCUUUGUGAAUUUACUGAAGCUCUGAACGUGUGGGAUCUGGUGCCGUUUCUGGCACCUCCGUCCCAGGCGACUUCUGUCCUGGCGCAGAUUGAUGUCUGGAGUCGUGCGGUGCACAGAAGCCCAAUCCCAGCUAGCGGGGAACGUUUUCACAACAUUGAGACAACCUUGCCAGAAUGUUCGCCAGAACUCGAACGCUCAAACAGCAGGAGGCGCUUUCACACAUCUUCUGAAAAAUUACAUCAUUUAUGGAUCCAGAAACAGUCCAGGAAAACAUGUGCCCUAUCUCUGGACUUCAGGUUGAAGUUUUACCUCAGCACUCCGUUGGGAAUAAUCUCAGAGUCUGGAUGGCCAGGACUCUUGGGACGCCAGCAGCUGAUAAUGAGUUGACACGCAGCCCACGUUAACGUCGUUGAGGAAAGCAACGUCUACGGUUAACACACGCCAGUCACGUGGCACAAACCAGUGGGAUCCAUCAAGAUGUUUGAUUAGUGUCUCAGAAGAGCGUCUCUGCUGAAAUCUCUGCCUCUUUAAAAUGAGCCUGCAAUCAAAGCACAGGCGGCUGGAGAUCGGGCUCGCUCUCAAAGGCCCCCCGACUCUCUUAACCUGUGAAGAGCGCAUUACAUCAUAAAGACUCCUGCUACAAAUGGAUGAAAUUUAGCAGCCAUCCUCUCCACAUGUGUGUAUUGUGGUGCAAGACUGCUUUGGGGAGGUCACCGAGUGUGUCAGAUUCUUCUUCAUCCACACACACUCGUUUACGCUGUCAAUAUUCAGCAGUCUAAAGAUGAAAACCACGAGUCUGGCGUAAAGGACUGUUGAAGUUUGCUUGAGGUAUUCCUCCAGAUCUCAGCGGGAUCAUAACAUCUGAAGUGAGCAGAAACGCUCGUAAAGGACAGAAACAAUCCGCACUCAACAUCCCGCCGAGCUCCCUUUUAUCGGAGGGACCG